rnacentral:rRNA from 1 species
GAUGAGGCAUGCAAGUCGAACGGAAUAAUGACUUCGGUUGUUAUUUAGUGGCGGAAGGGUUAGUAAUACAUAGAUAAUCUGUCCUCAACUUGGGAAUAACGGUUGGAAACGACCGCUAAUACCGAAUGUGGUAUGUUUAGGCAUCUAAAACAUAUUAAAGAAGGGGAUCUUAGGACCUUUCGGUUAAGGAAGAGUCUAUGGGAUAUCAGCUUGUUGGUGGGGUAAUGGCCUACCAAGGCUUUGACGUCUAGGCGGAUUGAGAGAUUGACCGCCAACACUGGGACUGAGACACUGCCCAGACUUCUACGGAAGGCUGCAGUCGAGAAUCUUUCGCAAUGGACGAAAGUCUGACGAAGCGACGCCGCGUGUGUGAUGAAGGCUCUAGGGUUGUAAAGCACUUUCGCUUGGGAAUAAGAGAAAUUGGCUAAUAUCCAAUUGAUUUGAGCGUACCAGGUAAA